AACGAACGCUGGCGGCACGUUUUAAGCAUGCAAGUCGAAUGGCAGUGGGGGCAACCCCAUGAGAAUGGCGAACGGGUGAGUAACACGUAGGUGAUCUGCCUGACGGAUGGGGAUAGCUUGUGGAAACACAGGGUAAUACCGAAUGAGCUGACGAGACUUUGGUUUUGUUCGUAAAGGUGCUACGGCACCGCCGACAGAGGAGCCUGCGGCUGAUUAGCUAGUUGGUGGGGUAAAGGCCUACCAAGGCUACGAUCAGGAGCCGGCCUGAGAGGGUGUACGGCCACACUGGAACUGAGACACGGUCCAGACUACUACGGGAGUCAGCAGCUAAGAAUCUUCCGCAAUGGGCGAAAGCCUGACGGAGCGAUGCCGCGUGAUCGAUGAAGGUCGAGAGAUUGUAAAGAUCUUUUCUACAUGAGGAAUAAGUCUGGGAGGGAAUGCCUGGAUGGUGACGUUAGUGUAGGAAUAAGCCCCGGCUAAUUACGUGCCAGCCGCCGCCGUAA
rnacentral:rRNA from 1 species